CCUAAAAGCAGCCACCUUUGAAAAAGCGUUAAAGCUUUAUUUCAAUCUCUCAUCAAUUCCUCAAUUUUACCGAAACCCCCCACCCCCAUACUGAAUGACUUCAUACUUUAUGAAGGACCAUAUGCUAAAACUAGUAACAAGAAGAAGAACUUCUCCAAAAUGCAAGCGUAAAUCAUAAUGAACAACUCACUGACAAUUAACGUCCAUAAGCCCAAAGUAGUAACUCACCAAGAAAACUCUACUUAAAACAACGUUAACCUUACACCAGCGCAUUCACAGAAAGAUUAAAAGAAUCGGAAGGAACUCGGCAAAUUACUAACCCCGCCUGUUUACCAAAAACAUCGCCUCCUGAUAAACUAUAGGAGGUCCAGCCUGCCCAGUGACAAAGUUAAACGGCCGCGGUACCCUAACCGUGCAAAGGUAGCGCAAUCACUUGUUCUUUAAAUGAGGACUAGUAUGAAUGGCAUCACGAGGGUUAUACUGUCUCCCCACUCUAAUCAGUGAAACUGACCUCCCCGUGAAGAAGCGGGGAUAUUAAUAUAAGACGAGAAGACCCCAUGGAGCUUUAAACUCAGUAUCACCUGCCACACAUUACAACCUCUCACCCACGCAGUCCUGAUAACUAGUUUUCGGUUGGGGUGACCGCGGAGUAAAACAAAACCUCCUCGAUGAAAGGAAUUAACUUCCUAAUCCAAGAGCCACAACUCUAAGAAUCAAAUUAUUGACAAAAAUUGAUCCAAAUACUAUUGAUCAACGAACCAAGUUACCCUGGGGAUAACAGCGCAAUCCAUUUCAAGAGCUCAUAUCGACAAAUGGGUUUACGACCUCGAUGUUGGAUCAGGGUAUCCCAGUGGCGCAGCCGCUACUAAAGGUUC
rnacentral:rRNA from 1 species